UGCGUCUCUUCGUCUGCACCGAAAAAAAAAUCCUUACUUCGUUUCCUCUCUUCACCUUCACCUUAAAAAUUCCCACCCCUUUGUCCCUCCCUCUUCAUGGAAGGAGCAAGGCGCAACCCCUCCCUCUCUUCGAGCUCUAUCAUCCUCCCUCCCUCUUCGAGCCUUAUCAGCAGAGGUGCUCCCCUCUUCGAGCACCAUCAGCGGCAGAGGCGCGCCCCCCUCCCCCUUCGAGCACCAUCAGCGGUAGAGGUGCCACCCCCUCCCUCUCUUCGAGCCCUAUCAGCAGAGGUGCCCCCUCUUCGAGCAACAUCUCCCUCUCUUCGAGCACCAUCAGCAGCAAAGGUGCCACCCCCUCCCCCUUUAAGAACCAUCAGCGAUAGAGGCAUCCCCUCCCUCUUCAAGCCCUAUCAGCAGUCUCUCUUCGAGCCCCAUUAGUAGAGGUGUCCCCCUCUUCGAGCACCAUCAGCAGCAGAGACCCUCCCUUCGAAUCCUAUCUCAGCAGAGGUGCCCCAAGCACUAUCAGCGAAGGGGAUGGAGCUAGGCGCAACGAUUUAUCUUUUUAAGCAAUGGGUCUCAGUAAGACUGAAGUUAAUUUGACAAGAUUGUUGGAAGCGACUCCGAGGCAAUAGAAUAAAAUAAAGCUGAUACAUGUAAGUGUAACUAUGUUGCUUGAGGAGCAUUUUAUUCGCUCCAUCUUCUCCCGUAUUUUAGUUAAAUUUCAUGGUUCAUUAUCCUGCUUAAAGGGGUACCUUGAUUGAUGCUUUCUUAUUUCUUCAAGAUUCUGGCAUCAACAGUGUCUAUUGUUUGUUCCCUGUUAUUCUGUAAGUUAUGUGUAUUUAUAACAACAAAAGAAACAUACUGAAUUUAUUUUGACAACCACGAUGAUUAUCAUGGUGCACCAAAUUAGGGAGUGUUUGAUGUUUUGCUAUAUACAUGUUGGUAAUUAUGAUUCUUUCCUUUUGGAUAAUGAUAGGCAUCACAAAUCAAGGUAGCUCUUCUAUUGAACAGAAAUCUACUAAACUAACUCUACCACAAUUUAGAUUCAUCCCAAUAGAAGAGACUUUCUCCUGCGAUGUCAUGGUACAGACUUUGGAACAGAUCUGGAGUAGUGGAUUUCAGUUCCUACAAUAACCCUUGAGUCAUGCCUUCACUACUAAGAACUCUGCAUGUGUUUGGCUGCAGUAGUCUUCCAUGAUAUCACCUUUGGCUAUGAAUGUUCUUUCAUUAGGUAGCUGCAUAUGCUCUCCUUUGAUUGUUCUAUGUUUAUUCCACAAAUAUUUUUGUUUUAAAAGUCAAACAUUGAACAUUUGAUUGAAAGUCCAUGCUGGCUAGCAAUUGAAUGCGCAACCCUGGCCCUUUUUUUGGAGCUGGUAUCUGUUUUACUUCAAAUGUUAUCUUGUCUCUAAUAGUUUGUUACUUGAAGAAAAGCGGUAUCUAAGAUGCUGUUGUGUAGAAAUUUGCUAAUCCUCAUUCUCUUUCCAUUGUAUUUUGUUCUUUUUUCUUGCAUUAUGCUUUCUUUCUCUAUAGAUUUAUAAUGCUUGGUAAUUGUUUCUUGUUUAUGUUUGUGUUUUUCUUGCUCAUGUUAACAUCUUACCUAUCUUUCUUUGUAAUUGGAGGGAAUCAAGCCAACCAGACUUUAAUUGUAAAAGCAUAGAAGGUUAGUGAGUGCCCGUCAAAACCUUUUUUUGUUAUGUUAUCAAUGUGUUUCCAACUCCUGUUGUUUCAGAAUAAGAAAUUUGUCGUUUGGUUCUUUUUAGACACAUGAAUUAGUGGUUGGUUAUCUAAUGUUAACUUAUGUGUCGGGAUUGUCAAUCUAAAUGUGAGACCUCAUUGCCCUGAUGUGUCGUAAAA